GUUUUUACUUUUGAAGGUAAGAAAAUUGUGCAAAUACUCGUAUGCAGUAUAUCCAUUUCGGGGAUUUUCCAGGGUUAAGAUUCUGGAUGGGAUUUUGAGUCAAUUUGUGCAAAGAAUUGCAAACAAGAACACAAGAUCACAAGACAUUGUCAAUUUGUCUGCUCUGAAAAUGAAAACCUUUUACUCUCAGCUGGCACCAAUAGCAUCACCUCAGUGCACAAUCUGUUCAGCUAUCGAGACAGUGCCAGGCAGUUGGACUAAUCUGUCAGCCUCCACUACGGCCCCGCUGCUGGCACGCCUGACAGCAGCACUGGGACGGCAGUGGGCAGCUGACCUCUGCUCCGCUACACUGUGUCUGAGCUGCCUGCGUCAGCUGCAGGGGGUGGAACAGCUGCGGGGCCGCCACCAGCGGCUGGAGGCCUCCCUGGCCAGGGUCUGCAGGAAGGCAUCUGAUUCACUGGAUGCCUCAGCCACCUCCUGCAUAGCUUGUCAUUCUCUGCUCUCAGUGCAUGAUACUGCCAAUGCAUUCUGGGACAAGGCACAGUUCAGCUCAACCUUGCUGGCUAAUAUUCUUGCAAAAUUUAUGACCAAGCCGCCGGAGCCGGGCUCGUCAGCGGGCAGCAGGGUGUGUGGCCGCUGUGUGGCCAGACUGAACCAGCUGGACUUACUGGCUGUGAGGGCCGACCGGAGGGCGCGGGCGAUGGGCGGGCGGCUGCGGGCCGGCGCUGCUGCUGCCGGUGCCAGGAGGCCUAACGGUCCACCCGACUCUCAAGCAGUACCCGAGGAUCCGGCGGGCCACCUCACCCCUCUGGACGAAAUGCUGCUCCAAUUAACCGCCGACCACGAGGAGGAGGCCGGCCUGCCCUCGCCGUCACUACCGCUACUGACAACAGGAGGCCCGUCGGCUGACCGGAGCUCGGACCUACUGAACAUCAGCGGUCGGCCAGACACGGGCGGUGGACUCGAGAAGGCCGGGAGGGGUGACGGCCUGAGAGGGGAAGGAUUGGAAGAGUACGGCCGCAAUGACGGUGGGCUGGAAGCACCGGUGGAUGACGGGGUUGGGGAAUUGCUUGGUGAUGUUCAGGCUGUUGAAGGAGGACCACAGAAAGCUAACAGCGACCGACAGAAUAAUAAGGACAGCAGGGACUUUCGCCCCACAUCCAAGGUGGUGCAGCCCGUCUCAUCUGCUGCUGCUGCCGCCUCCCAGCCACCAGACCGGCCUGUUCGCACCAUAUACGUCCAGUUGGUGGCCGGAGACGCCACGGGCGCUGCGGGACCGGCAGAGGUGAACGAGGUCCGCGCCGCGCCGGCUACCGCCCCCGCCCCCGCCCCCGCCCCUGCUGUAACCGCCACCAAGGGCCGCCGUCCGGCUAAGAUCAAGGUGCAAGAAACGGUCCAGGUGGUCCGCCUGGGUCCUUCCGAUCGGCUGGUUCCUCGGCCUCGGCCCUACCACCGAAAACGACCCAAACCGCCGGCUGCUGAUAACUCCACUGAGGACGCCGACGACCCGUCGUCCGCUGACGGACCGUCAAACGCUGACGGGCUGUCAAAGUCAAACGAUCCGUCAAGCGCUGAGGAUCAGCAGGCAGUUGGAGAGUCACCGGCGCCUCAGCCCCCGGUCAAGCGCGGCAGAGGUCGUCCCAGGAAGACACAGCUGGAUGGGACACAGCGGACCUUCAGGGAGCUGCACAGGAAGUUACAGUAUAUGACGGCCAGAGCUGCCCUACCGAACCAGGUGUCUGACCCGAUCGGCCCGCCGUCCGGACCGGACCGCCCCGUCGGACCGGGAACGGCGGCCAGCGGAGAUACAGCUGUGAAGAGCGAGCGGGAGGAGGGAGGAGAGCAGUGGCUGGAGGCGCAGGACAGAGUGGCGGAGCGGGAUAGUCAGGUCGUCGGGACGGUGUCCAGCGCGACGCUCGGGUGGCUGGGCCCGCCGGCUGAACCCUCCCACGUCACCCACCGCCGCCGGCUGGCAGAGGCCAUGGAGCGCGUCAACAGCCGCAUAGCCGAGAAGCGCCUUAAGUCAUCUCGAUUUGCUGCAACAAAGGAGGACAGGGAGGACGAGAACGUGGAGCCGAGGGAGGACGGUGAGGACAUUGAGGAAGAGUUUGAGGACGGAGAGGACACUGUAAAGGCAGAGCAGUCAGAGACCAGCGAGGAGUGGACCGUUUCGGUCCGCAGCCGGCGCGUGAACGGGCUCUAUGUCUGCGAGGUGUGCCACGACUCGUUCGCGAUGCUGCGGGAGCUGCUGAAACACGAGCGGACCCACACUGAGGCCAAGUUCCCCUGUCCGAUGUGUAACAGGUCGUUCACCCUGCCCAAACUGGUGCGGAGGCAUCAGAAAUUCCACAAGGUGCCCCGCGCCUACCAGUGCGGCGAGUGCGGCCUGCGCUGCCGCUCCCAGCUGGUACUUCUCGACCACAUGCACACCCACACGGGCGGCGAGCACAUCUCCUGCGGCCAGUGCGGCCAGACGUUCGCCAGUCGAGUGCGCUACCGCUCCCACCUGCGCGCGCACAAGGGCCGGCCGGGGCCGCCGCACUGCGCCGAGUGCCGGCUCAAGUUCGCCAACAAGGCGGCCCUGCAGCGUCACCAGCGGGAGCAACACCCCGAGCCACAGCUGAUCGCCUGUCCAGAGCCCGACUGCGAGCGACGCUUCGACUCGCAGAAGAGGCUGACGCACCACCUGCUGCAGCACUUGGCCGGGCCGCCCUGGCGCUGCAAACUCUGUGAUAAGGAGUUCCGCUCCAAGUACUCUCUGAGGGACCACGUGCGCACCCACUCCGGACAGAAACCGUUCGAGUGUGAGAUCUGCGCAAUGCGUUUCUCCCUACGCUCUAACCUAGCCAUGCACAUGCGGUAUGUCCACCAGAACGACCGCCGGUUCAAGUGCACGCUGUGCGGGAAGGGCUACAAGCGGCGGCAGCUACUGCAGUACCACAUGCUGUCCCACGAGGGUGUGCGGCCGCUCAGCUGCCCGCACUGCCCCAUGAAGAUGAUCUACCCGCAGCAUCUGAAACUGCACCUGCAGACCCACUCGGGCGAGAAGCCGCACCGCUGUGACGUCUGCAGCAAGGCGUUCAGCAGGCGGGACAACCUGCGUGCCCACAUGUUCACACACAGCAACAAAAAGCCCUUCGAGUGCCGCCAGUGUGGCAUGGGCUUCGUGCGAAAGAUGGCUCUGCUGCAGCACAUGGAGCACUUCAGUCACGGCGAGCAUCCGGACGACUACGUCAUCAACCGUACCCUGGUGACCAGCGAGUCGGCGCCGGCCGGCGAGCAGGCCCACACCAUCGAGCUGCUCGACACCGCCGACGGGCCGCUGGUCCUUCUCGUCGACUCCGACGGCAAUCAGGAGGUGCUCGUUGCCGACGGACAGGCGGGAGACGCGUCGACGGCGGCGGCUCUGCGGUGCCUCACCUCCGCCGGGCGGCGGUUGGAUCUGAUUAUCGAUGAGUCCGGAGCGGCGACGGUGCGCGGUGGGGAGGAGGACGGGGAGCAGCUGGUGCUGGCUGACGGUGCUGCGGCAGAUACGGUGGAUCUGAUACUGCAGGAGGCUGACGGGCGGCUGGUGCUGAGCGGGGACGGCGCUGACGGUCAGCUGGUGCUGAGCGGGGAGGGCGCUGACGGCCAGCUGGUGCUGAGCGGGGAGGGCGCUGACGGGCAGCUGGUGCUGAGCGGGCAGGGCGCUGACGGCCAGCUGCUGCUGCAGGGGGCGGACGGAGACCAGCCGCUGCUGCUCCAGGAGGGAGUGGAGGACGGCGCGGCGCCCCACUGGGAGCUGCCGGCGCCGCAGGGCGACCCGUUGGAGCUGCGGGCAGACGACGUUCGCGGAUAGCGCCGUGUAAUCUCCUCAGAUACUGCUACUGUCGCCGCCACUGGUCAAGGGCGGCUGUUGUCGGCUGUGCUGCGAUCGAUGUGUGCGAAUGUCCCUGAGUCCACCGUCCUACUCUCAGCUCCACUUUGCGAGUCAAUGCAGCUCUAAACAUCGAGCUAAUGAUACGGUGAUAAGUGGUUCUACUGUGUGCCUAUCUGUGGCAUGCCCACUUCACGGCUGGGAAUCUUAUCGCGGUUGAUAUGAAUGUGCCGAAUCAGGGGAUUUUGUACCAAUGCUAUUUGAGGCUGUGUGCCUUGACAAGUUCUUUUCGCAAGCUGAGAAGCUUUCUGAGCCGUAUGCGUAGCACUGUUUGCUCCGAUAAAUGGAGCGAACCGUUGUGGCCGUUAAACGGAACUGUAUGGAACGUCCCUGUAUGGAUCUGGUUGUCACAUGAA
rnacentral:misc_RNA from 1 species